UACGUAGGUGGCAAGCGUUGUCCGGAUUUACUGGGCGUAAAGAGCGCGCAGGCGGUCGUUCAAGUCGCGUGUGAAAGCCCCCGGCUCAACUGGGGAGGGUCACGCGAUACUGAUCGACUCGAAGGCAGGAGAGGGAAGUGGAAUUCCCGGUGUAGUGGUGAAAUGCGUAGAGAUCCGGAGGAACACCGAAAGCGAAGGCAGUGUCCUGGCUGGUGACUGACGCUGAGGCACGAAGGCCAGGGGAGCAAACGGG
rnacentral:rRNA from 1 species